UCUGAGCAGUCAGUCAGCGACAGG
rnacentral:piRNA from 1 species